ACGGAAGGCAGCAGUGAGGAAUAUUGGUCAAUGGUCGGAAGACUGACCCAGCCAAGUAGCGUGAAGGAUGACUGCCCUAUGGGUUGUAAACUUCUUUUAUGCGGGAAUAAAAAGGAUUACGUGUAGUCUGUUGCAUGUACCGCAUGAAUCAGGAUCGGCUAAUUCCGUGCCAGCAGCCGCGGUAAUACGGAAGAUCCAAGCGUUAUCCGGAUUUAUUGGGUUUAAAGGGAGCGUAGGCGGGCCUUUAAGUCAGUGGUCAAAGCGUGUGGCUCAACCAUACCACGCCGUUGAUACUGGAGGCCUUGAGUGCACAUAAGGAUGGUGGAAUUCAUGGUGUAGCGGUGAAAUGCUUAGAUAUCAUGAAGAACUCCGAUUGCGAAGGCAGCUGUCCGGGGUGUAACUGACGCUAAUGCUCGAAAGUGCGGGUAUCAAACAGGAUUAAAUACCCUGGUA
rnacentral:rRNA from 1 species